rnacentral:other from 1 species
CGCACCCUGAGGUAUUUGCCAGUCAGCAUGUCCUUGAGCCGAUAAUACCGCUUUGGGGGUUACUCGCCGCGUUUGUGUGCAUGCCUGGUUUACCGGGAAGCCUUUGACGCGAACAGUGCCACCACCUUGAACCUUUCGGUUCGAGGCCGCAACGACAGCGGUACCCUGGGGCGCAC